rnacentral:tRNA from 1 species
GAGGGUAUAGUUCAGUGGUAGAGCACGUGCUUAGCAUGUGCUAAGGUCCUGGGUUCAAUCCCCACUACCUCCA